rnacentral:rRNA from 1 species
CAGCCGCCGCGGGAAUACGUAGGGUGCGAGCGUUAAUCGGAAUUACUGGGCGUAAAGCGUGCGCAGGCGGUUUUGUAAGACAGGCGUGAAAUCCCCGGGCUCAACCUGGGAAUGGCGCUUGUGACUGCAAAGCUAGAGUGCGGCAGAGGGGGAUGGAAUUCCGCGUGUAGCAGUGAAAUGCGUAGAUAUGCGGAGGAACACCGAUGGCGGAGGCAAUCCCCUGGGCCUGCACUGACGCUCAUGCACGAAAGCGUGGGGAGCAAACAGGAUUAGAUACCCCCGUAGUCCCUGUCUCUUAUAC